rnacentral:rRNA from 1 species
AUGGUCGUGUGCGACUUCGACCUGAACUUCACCUUCAUUUCUUGUGGCUGGGAGGGAUCUGCUACUAAUGCUAAAGUUCUUCGGUCAACAAUUAACCACGAGUUUCAUGUACCUCCUGGCAAGUUUUAUCUGGUUGAUGGUGGUUAUGCCAACGCAACUUACUUCUUGGCACCGUAUCAUGGUGUUUGGUACCAUCUGAAGGAGUUUGCACGCGGUCGUCGUCGACCCCAAAAUCACAGGGAGCUAUUCAAUCUCCGGCAUGCCGUGUUACGAAAUCACAUCGGACGGGGAUUAGGAAUCUUGAAGAAGCGGUUCCCAAUCCUAAAAGUGGGCACACAUCAUCAAAUAGAUAACCAAGUCAAGCUACCAGCAGCAGCUGCAAUCUUACAUAACAUCAUCCGAUCUGAAAGAGGAGAUGAGUGUUGGUUAGAUAACCAACAAAACAAUAUACCUGUCAUGAAUUUUGUGGAUCUUCUUGACAAUAAUAUUCCUCAAAAUCAUCAAAUCAACCAUGAAGGCGACAACCUUAGAGAUGCCAUUGCUCAUCAAAUGUGGGCUGAUUAUCAACAUGCAUAA